GGCACCUGCUUCGCCGAAAGGAGGCUUGGCUGCAUCAGACUGAACGAGCGAGCGAGCUGCACGCGGCUCAGUCCCCGGGCGGGGUUUCCUGGGCCCUGGGCGCGCCGCCCUCGGGCCGACCCGUCACGGGAGGGGCGACCCCGGCGGGGGCGGUGCGCGCGGCGGGACUGGGGAGCCGGCCUCCUCCCGCCCACGGCUCCCCCUGGGCCCGCGGCCUCACCCCCGCCUGCGUGGCCGCGGCCUGGUCUCGCCUCUGCGCCCGCUUGGGACCUAGCGCUCGCCAGCCUCCCCCCUCCCCCUCCCUCUCCCCUUCCCUCCUCCCCUCCUCUCUCCUUCCCUCUCCCUCCUCCCCCUCCUUCCCUCCCCCUCCCCCUCCCUCCCUCUCCCUCUUCCCUCCCUCUCCCUCCUCCCCCUCCUCCCCCCCUUCCCUCCCCCUCCCUCCCUCUCCCUCUUCCCUCCCUCUCCCUCCUCCCCCUCCUCCCCCUCCUUCCCUCCCCCUCCCCCUCCCUCCCUCUCCCUCUUCCCUCCCUCUCCCUCCUCCCUCCCUCUCCCUCUUCCCUCCCUCUCCCUCCUCCCCCUCCUCCCCCUCCUUCCCUCCCCCUCCCCCUCCCUCCCUCUCCCUCUUCCCUCCCUCUCCCUCCUCCCCCUCCUCCCCCUCCUUCCCUCCCCCUCCUCCUCCCUCCCUCUCCCUCCCUCCCCCUCCUCCUCCCUCCCUCUCCCUCCUCCCUCCGUCUUCCUCCUCCCCCCUCCUCCCCUCCCCUUCUCCCCCCUCCCCCUUUCCCCUCCUCCCCCGGCGGGGGGAGGGGGGGCGAGGCUGGCCCUGGGCGGCGCCCUCACUCCUUUCCCUCUAAAGGCCUGGAUGCCUCCUUUGAACCUUUUCGCUGCCACCGAUCGAUUGAUCGUGUCUAUUGCCUGCAACCAGAGAACCCUCCUGUGCGCCGCGGUUGUUUAAGCAAGCCGGCAGGAGUGGCCCUCUGUCCCCCGCCCCGCCCCCCAGCCCCAAAGAAACCCCAGCUUGGGUGGAUUCCCCGCCCACUGUGCCUGUUCCCGAUUCCCCGCUGCCCCCUUUCCUGCGGGCGCGGCCGAGUGGGUGCUGCCCCGGUGGGGACAGGCGAAGGCGCGGGUGGUGACCACAGGCCUCCCUGGGGGGCGGGGGAGGGGGGGCUCACCUGCUAG
rnacentral:lncRNA from 1 species